CAAGGUCAUCUGCUGCAUUUUGGGCCAUUGCCAGUCAUCUUGACUUUUUCCUGACACUAGACUUCAAUGACUCUUGAAGAGAGGGUGAGGCUGAUGAUUUUGUGCAACUCUUCCUUAAGUCCAAUUCACAAGCAAAUCAAGAAAUCACUCUUUAAUGUCACUGGUCCUCUUCAAAACAGAAGACAAACAACAUGACUGCUCUGUGGGCUCUAGCCAUUCAACUAAUUUUGAAUACUUCUGCCUGUACCAUUAUCUGAUCAAACCAUUAUAAAACUAUCUGUUAGGGAUUUAAAAAGACCCUUUAAAAAGAUAUUUUAAAAAGCACUGUAUUCCAUGUACCAUUGAAUAUUUGUCAAUAUAAGAAGGAUGGACUCUAUAAAUACCCCAAGAAUAUUGCUCAGGUGUUGUUGAAAAGAACUUAUUCAUGAGACUGAAAUGCUUAUGUCAUGUUGAAGGAAUAUCGAGAAGCAAAAUAUCUCCAUUUGGAGAGAGGAGCUUCUUAGAGGUCUUCUGGCCUGCCAUCUACAUGAACAGGAAUGUUCUUUGCAGUAACUCCCAAAAAGACAUGUUGGAAUGGAAAGGCAUUUGAAAAACAGUGCAUAGUUGGUGCUGUUUAAUUUUAAAUUUUUAUGACCUAAUAAAUGAUCAGUCUUUGAAGAUGUACCA
rnacentral:lncRNA from 1 species